rnacentral:rRNA from 1 species
CCUAACGGGGGCUGCAGUGGGGAAUAUUGGACAAUGGGCGAAAGCCUGAUCCAGCCAUGCCGCGUGUGUGAAGAAGGCCUUCGGGUUGUAAAGCACUUUCAGUGGGGAAGAAAGCCUUGGGGCUAAUACCCUCGAGGAAGGACAUCACCCACAGAAGAAGCACCGGCUAACUCCGUGCCAGCAGCCGCGGUAAUACGGAGGGUGCGAGCGUUAAUCGGAAUUACUGGGCGUAAAGCGCGCGUAGGCGGUCUGAUAAGCCGGUUGUGAAAGCCCCGGGCUCAACCUGGGAACGGCAUCCGGAACUGUCAGGCUAGAGUGCAGGAGAGGAAGGUAGAAUUCCCGGUGUAGCGGUGAAAUGCGUAGAGAUCGGGAGGAAUACCAGUGGCGAAGGCGGCCUUCUGGACUGACACUGACGCUGAGGUGCGAAAGCGUGGGUAGCAAACAGGAUUAGAUACCCUGGUAGUC